AUGUUGGGUUAGUCCGCACGAGCGCACCCUUAUCCUUAUUUGCCAGCGCGUUAUGGCGGGAACUCUAAGGAGACUGCCGGUGAUAAACCGGAGGAAGGUGGGGACGACGUCAAGUCAUCAUGGCCCUUACGGGAUGGGCUACACACGUGCUACAAUGGCGUAUACAGAGUGCUGCAAUACCGCGAGGUGGAGCGAAUCACACAAAGUACGUCGUANUCCGGAUCGGAGUCUGCAACUCGACUCCGUGAAGUCGGAAUCGCUAGUAAUCGUAGAUCAGAAUGCUACGGUGAAUACGUUCCCGGGCCUUGUACACACCGCCCGUCACACCAUGGGAGUGGGAUGCAAAAGAAGUGGCUAGUUUAACCUUUCGGGGAGGACGGUCACCACUUUGUGUUUCAUGACUGGGGUGAAGUCGUAACAAGGUAACCCUAGGGGAACCUGGGGUUGGAUCACCUCCUU
rnacentral:rRNA from 1 species